UGCAAGUCGAGCGGACAGAUGGGAGCUUGCUCCCUGAUGUUAGCGGCGGACGGGUGAGUAACACGUGGGUAACCUGCCUGUAAGACUGGGAUAACUCCGGGAAACCGGGGCUAAUACCGGAUGGUUGUUUGAACCGCAUGGUUCAAACAUAAAAGGUGGCUUCGGCUACCACUUACAGAUGGACCCGCGGCGCAUUAGCUAGUUGGUGAGGUAAUGGCUCACCAAGGCAACGAUGCGUAGCCGACCUGAGAGGGUGAUCGGCCACACUGGGACUGAGACACGGCCCAGACUCCUACGGGAGGCAGCAGUAGGGAAUCUUCCGCAAUGGACGAAAGUCUGACGGAGCAACGCCGCGUGAGUGAUGAAGGUUUUCGGAUCGUAAAGCUCUGUUGUUAGGGAAGAACAAGUACCGUUCGAAUAGGGCGGUACCUUGACGGUACCUAACCAGAAAGCCACGGCUAACUACGUGCCAGCAGCCGCGGUAAUACGUAGGUGGCAAGCGUUGUCCGGAAUUAUUGGGCGUAAAGGGCUCGCAGGCGGUUUCUUAAGUCUGAUGUGAAAGCCCCCGGCUCAACCGGGGAGGGUCAUUGGAAACUGGGGAACUUGAGUGCAGAAGAGGAGAGUGGAAUUCCACGUGUAGCGGUGAAAUGCGUAGAGAUGUGGAGGAACACCAGUGGCGAAGGCGACUCUCUGGUCUGUAACUGACGCUGAGGAGCGAAAGCGUGGGGAGCGAACAGGAUUAGAUACCCUGGUAGUCCACGCCGUAAACGAUGAGUGCUAAGUGGUUAGGGGGUUUCCGCCCCUUAGUGCUGCAGCUAACGCAUUAAGCACUCCGCCUGGGGAGUACGGUCGCAAGACUGAAACUCA
rnacentral:rRNA from 1 species